rnacentral:rRNA from 1 species
CCUACGGGUGGCUGCAGUGGGGAAUAUUGCACAAUGGGCGCAAGCCUGAUGCAGCCAUGCCGCGUGUGUGAAGAAGGCCUUCGGGUUGUAAAGCACUUUCAGCGGGGAGGAAGGCGUUAAGGUUAAUAACCUUGUCGAUUGACGUUACCCGCAGAAGAAGCACUGGCUAACUCCGUGCCAGCAGCCGCGGUAAUACGGAGGGUGCAAGCGUUAAUCGGAAUUACUGGGCGUAAAGCGCACGCAGGCGGUCUGUCAAGUCGGAUGUGAAAUCCCCGGGCUCAACCUGGGAACUGCAUUCGAAACUGGCAGGCUAGAGUCUUGUAGAGGGGGGUAGAAUUCCAGGUGUAGCGGUGAAAUGCGUAGAGAUCUGGAGGAAUACCGGUGGCGAAGGCGGCCCCCUGGACAAAGACUGACGCUCAGGUGCGAAAGCGUGGGGAGCAAACAGGAUAGAUACCCUAGUAGUC